AUUGAACGCUGGCGGAAUGCUUUACACAUGCAAGUCGAACGGCAGCACGGGGGCAACCCUGGUGGCGAGUGGCGAACGGGUGAGUAAUACAUCGGAACGUGCCCAGUCGUGGGGGAUAACGUAGCGAAAGUUACGCUAAUACCGCAUACGAUCUACGGAUGAAAGCGGGGGACCGUAAGGCCUCGCGCGAUUGGAGCGGCCGAUAUCAGAUUAGGUAGUUGGUGGGGUAAAGGCCCACCAAGCCAACGAUCUGUAGCUGGUCUGAGAGGACGACCAGCCACGCUGGAACUGAGACACGGUCCAGACUCCUACGGGAGGCAGCAGUGGGGAAUUUUGGACAAUGGGCGAAAGCCUGAUUCAGCCAUUCCGCGUGCAGGAUGAAGGCCCUCGGGUUGUAAACUGCUUUUGUACAGAACGAAAAGGUUUCUACUAAUACUAGGAGCUCAUGACGGUACUGUAAGAAUAAGCACCGGCUAACUACGUGCCAGCAGCCGCAGUAA
rnacentral:rRNA from 1 species